CAGCCGCCGCGGUAAUACAGAGGAUGCAAGCGUUAUCCGGAAUGAUUGGGCGUAAAGCGUCUGUAGGUGGCUUUUCAAGUCCGCCGUCAAAUCCCAGGGCUCAACCCUGGACAGGCGGUGGAAACUACUAAGCUGGAGUACGGUAGGGGCAGAGGGAAUUUCCGGUGGAGCGGUGAAAUGCGUUGAGAUCGAAAAGAACACCAACGACGAAAGCACUCUGCUGGGUCGACACUGACACUGAGAGACGAAAGCUAGGGGAGCAAAUGGGAUUAGAUACCCCAGUAGUCCCUGUCUCUUAUAA
rnacentral:rRNA from 1 species